GUAGUUAGCCGGGGCUUUCUUACAGGGUACCGUCACUUCUUCGUCCCCUGCGACAGAGGUUUACAAUCCGAAAACCUUCUUCCCUCACGCGGCGUUGCUGGGUCAGGCUUGCGCCCAUUGCCCAAUAUUCCCCACUGCUGCCUCCCGUAGGAGUCUGGACCGUUUCUCAGUUCCAGUGUGGCCGGUCAUCCUCUCAGAUCGGCUACCCAUCGUCGCCUUGGUGGGCCGUUACCCCUCCAACUAGCUAAUGGGACGCGAGCUCCUCUUGUACCGAAUUUCUUUUACCCCUGUAGGAUGCCCUACUGUGGUCUUAUACCGUAUUAGCACAAAUUUCUCUGUGUUAUCCCGUUGUACAAGGCAGAUUGCUCACGCGUUACUCACCCGUCCGCCACCUUCCACAGUCCGAAGACUGCUUCCAGUAGACUUGCAUGUGUUAAGCAUCCUGUCAGCGUUUAUCCUGAGCCAGGAUCAAACUCUGA
rnacentral:rRNA from 1 species